AUGGACCGGAUGACUAGCUCCAUGAAGCAAGUACCCAACCCCCUGCCAAAGGUGCUGAGCCGACGUGGGGUCGGCGCGGGGAUGGAGGCGGCGGAGCGGGAGAGCUUCGAGCGGACUCAGACUGUCAGCAUCAAUAAGGCCAUUAAUACGCAGGAAGUGGCUGUAAAGGAAAAACACGCCAGAACGUGCAUACUGGGCACCCACCAUGAAAAGGGGGCACAGACCUUUUGGUCUGUUGUCAACCGGCUGCCCCUCUCCAGCAACGCUGUGCUCUGCUGGAAGUUCUGCCACGUGUUCCACAAACUCCUCCGGGAUGGACACCCAAAUGUCCUGAAGGACUCUCUGAGAUACAAAAACGAACUGAGUGACAUGAGCAGGAUGUGGGGCCACCUGAGUGAGGGGUAUGGGCAGCUUUGCAGCAUCUACCUCAAACUGCUGAGAACGAAGAUGGAGUACCACACCAAAAAUCCUAGGUUCCCAGGCAACCUUCAGAUGAGUGACCGGCAGCUGGACGAGGCCGGAGAGAGUGAUGUUAACAACUUUUUCCAGCUGACAGUGGAAAUGUUCGACUACCUGGAGUGUGAACUUAACCUCUUCCAAACUGUGUUCAACUCCCUGGACAUGUCCCGUUCCGUGUCAGUGACAACAGCUGGGCAGUGCCGCCUCGCCCCGCUGAUCCAGGUCAUCUUGGACUGCAGCCACCUCUAUGAUUACACUGUCAAACUUCUCUUCAAACUCCACUCCUGUCUUCCAGCCGACACCCUGCAAGGCCACCGGGACCGCUUCAUGGAGCAGUUCACAAAGUUGAAAGAUCUCUUCUACCGCUCCAGCAACCUUCAGUACUUCAAGCGGCUCAUUCAGAUCCCUCAGCUGCCAGACAACCCACCCAACUUCCUACGAGCCUCCGCCCUGUCAGAGCACAUCAGCCCCGUGGUGGUGAUCCCAGCCGAGGCCUCGUCCCCCGACAGCGAGCCAGUCUUAGAGAAGGAUGACCUCAUGGACAUGGAUGCGUCCCAGCAGAAUUCAUACGACAGCAAGUUCGAUGACAUCUUUGGCAGCUCCUCCAGCAGCGAUCCCUUCAAUUUCAACAGUCAGAACGGCGUGAACAAGGACGAGAAGGAUCACUUAAUUGAUCAACUGUACGGAGAGAUCAGUGGGCUGAAAGCACAGCUGGAAAACAUGAAGACUGAGAGCCAUCGAGCCAUGCUGCAGCUGAAGGGCCGCGUCAGCGAGCUGGAGGCCGAGCUGGCCGAGCAGCAGCACCUGCGGCAGCAGGCGGCCGACGAGAGCGAGUUCCUCCGGGCCGAGCUGGACGAGCUCAAGAAGAAGCGAGAGGACACAGAGAAGGCUCAGCGGAGCCUGACGGAGAUCGAGAGGAAAGCCCAAGCCAACGAGCAGCGCUACAGCAAGCUAAAAGAGAAGUACAGCGAGCUGGUGCAGAACCACGCCGACCUGCUGCGGAAGAAUGCAGAGGUGACCAAACAGGUGUCCGUGGCCAGACAAGCCCAAGUGGAUUUGGAACGAGAGAAAAAAGAGCUAGAGGAUUCUUUCCAGCGCAUAAGCGACCAGGCCCAGCGGAAGACUCAAGAACAGACGGAAGUACUAGAGAGUUUGAAGCAAGAACUUGCCACCAGCAAACAGGAACUCCGUAUUGUCCAAGGCAGCCUGGAAAGUUCUGCCCAGUCAGAAGCAAAAUGGACCGCCCAGAUCGCCGAGCUGGAGAAGGAGCGGGGCAGCCUGGUGGAUGCCGUGGCUUGUCGAGAGGAGGAACUGUCCAGUCUUCGGGAACAGCUGGAAUACACCCAGAUCAAACUGUCCAGCACACAGGAAUCUGUAAGCCGGCUCGCGAAGGACCAACGAAAAAUGCUUCUGGCGGAGUCGAGGAGGGCUGCUGUGCAGGUGGUGCAGGAGGCCCUGAGGCGGUUUGAGGAGCCCACUCUCUUCAGCUGCGCCGGAUCUGCAGAUCACCUACUCUCCACGGUCAGGUCCGUUUCCAGCUGCAUCGAGCAACUGGAAAAAUGCUGGAGCCAGUAUCUGGCCUGCCCAGAAGAUAUCAGUGGGCUUCUCCACUCGGUAACCCUCCUGGCCCACUUAACCAGUGACACCAUUGUUCAUGGCAGCACCACCUGCCUUAGAGCCCCGCCAGAGCCUGCCGACUCUCUGACCGAGGCCUGUAAGCAGUAUGGCAGGGAGACCCUCACCUAUCUGUCUUUCCUGGAGGAUGAAGGAAUCGUCGAGAAUGCCGACAGCACAGCCAUGAGGAGCUGCCUCAGCAGGAUCACAGCCAUUGGCGAGGAGCUCCUGCCCAGAGGCCUGGACAUCAAACAGGAGGAACUGGGGGACCUGGUGGACAAAGAGAUGGCUGCCACUUCCGCUGCCAUUGAAACCGCUACGGCCAGAAUAGAGGAGAUGCUCAGCAAAUCCCGAGCUGGAGACACAGGAGUUAAAUUGGAGGUGAAUGAAAGGAUCCUUGGCUCCUGUACCAGCCUAAUGCAGGCUAUUCAGGUCCUGAUCGUGGCCUCAAAGGAGCUCCAGAGAGAGAUAGUGGAGAGUGGCCGGGGUACAGCAUCCCCUAAAGAGUUUUAUGCCAAGAAUUCUCGAUGGACGGAAGGACUUAUCUCAGCCUCUAAAGCUGUGGGCUGGGGAGCCACUGUCAUGGUGGAUGCAGCUGAUCUGGUGGUACAAGGCCGAGGGAAAUUCGAGGAGCUGAUGGUCUGUUCGCAUGAAAUUGCUGCUAGCACCGCCCAGCUUGUGGCCGCAUCCAAGGUGAAAGCGGAUAAGGACAGCCCAAACCUGACCCAGCUGCAGCAGGCCUCUCGGGGCGUGAACCAGGCCACCGCCGCAGUUGUGGCCUCAACCAUUUCCGGCAAAUCACAGAUCGAGGACACAGACAGCAUGGACUUCUCAAGCAUGACGCUGACCCAGAUCAAACGCCAGGAGAUGGAUUCCCAGGUUAGGGUGCUGGAGCUAGAAAACGAACUGCAAAAGGAGCGUCAAAAACUGGGAGAGCUUCGGAAAAAGCAUUACGAGCUCGCUGGUGUCGCCGAGGGCUGGGAGGAAGGAACAGAAGCAUCACCACCUACGCUGCAAGAAGCGAUCACCGAAAAAGAAUAGAGUCACACCGACAUCCCACAGGUCAGAGUGUAAAUCCUUGCUGCCCAUCUGUGUGUGUGUGUGACUCCCCCAGUCACGGGCCAGACCCUGGGGGUCCACGCCACGCCCGUCAUCCAGUGCUGAGGACCUGCCCGGCCUUCCAGAGACUCCCUCCACAGCCCAUGUUCUGUGUUCUUUCACUACCCGCCCCCCCGACCGCCAAAAAGAGGGGAGCCCAGGGCCACCCUGACAGAGGGGACCUCCUUCCAGCCUUUUCCGUUUCAUCAUUUGCACAAACUUGUGAACACUGGGGGACUGGUGGAUUCCAAACCGUGACCCGACCCUGAGGCUGCACGGAGUCGGAAGAAGAGCAGGAGUGUCCUGGCUGAGAACGCCAAGGCAGUGCCCCCCUCUUUUGGCAGUUCCAUGGAUUCCCACUGCUUCUCAUGGUGGUCGGGUCUUUUUUUCCCAAGUUUCACUCACAUAGCCAACACUCCCAGGGGAUCGCCCCUGAAGCCCUGAGCUAUUGGGGGCCCCUAACCACAGCAGCUCACAGCAAUGGUGCUGCCUAGGCUUCGCCACGGUGCUCCCCGCCGGCCCCCCGAGCCAAGUGUCCUGCUGAGCGAGUAUGGGUCGGCCGAGGCCACUCCCCGGGGUCGGGCGGAAGGAGAGCGAGUGCCUUGCCUUCUAAAGCUGGAGCCCAGCCGAAAGCCUCUGCCCACCUUCACAAGUGAGGGGCGACAGAGAGAGGGAGAGGAAGGGUGCACACAGCCCAGGUCUUCAGGAGACCACCUUUCUUGGAAACUCCUUGUGACCGGGCUGAAAAGCCUUAUCCCAUGCUUGAACCCAGCCGGUGAGAGUAGCCACACUUCCUCCCCCCAGAAGGAAUCUUCCAUGGCCCGUCAAGUUGACACCUCCCUUCAUACCCAGGCAGGGCCCUAAGAGGGAACACGUGAGGGGUUUCCAAUCCCUUUCUCCAAAUGUCUGCCUUGGCAUCCUCUUGAAUCUCAAGAAGAUAGUUCCAUGUUCUACCUAAUCGACAGACCCAGAAGAUCAGGCCAACUUGCUCCCAGCAGGAAAGACCCUGGGCUUGGUUUGGUACCUUGAAUAUUAUGACUAAUCCCCAUCAGCAGCAGUGCUGGCAGCAAGCAGGAUUUCAGGUGUGACUAUGGCUGGGCUUGCGUUGCUGCCUGAGUACAUCCGCCUUCAAGAAUCGGAAACAAGACCUAGAGGCCAUCCCGAUCUGUCAUUGCUGGUUUGGAUCUUGAAGCAAGAAAGUUCCUCAGAGCAUCUGGGUCAGGGAAAACAAGAGAGGGGGACCACUGGCUCUAACCCCUUCCAACCACACAUCCCGGGCCCUGGAUGCCUUGCGGACAGGAUGAGGACAGAAGGAGCAUGAAUGAUGUCCUGGAGAUGGGCGGCCCGCCAGCACUUCUUCACCUCCAGAUGGACCCCAGCAUUUAAGUGACCUUCCCAUCUUGGACAAACAAUGUCUUCCUUUAUCUGUAGCGAUUCAUAGGUAGUAGCCAACAAGCACUUCCCAGGACCUGUCCCCAGGGACCAUUGCUGAGUGUCGCUACGUGACAGGUUGUGAGACUCUCGUUUGAUCACUGUGAAUCAACUCUCUCUCCUUCCUAAGCCCCCACCGCCAACUCCCUUUCUCUGCAAUUUCUAACUAGGGCACUCAAAAAGCUGCGUCCCAUUAGCUCAGAUUAUGAGACUCAGACGUGUGAUCUCCAUACUGGGCUAACGAGAUAGCAGCAGUGGAAAUUGACCGGUCUUACGUUUACUGCUUCUUUGUGCUCAACUAUUUUUCCACCCAAGCCUCAGAAGGAAUGAUGUGUAGCACCCCUGGCCCAGCUGUGCCAGUUAAGCCAAUUGGUGUGUUCUCAGCGUGGGUCAACAUUUCCAAAGGUGGCUGGUCCUCACUUCCAGAAUCUCAGCCAUUCAGACUAUUGUGCUCCAAAUUACCAAUGGGGGAAAAAUCUAGUAUAUGGGACCAGAUUAGGAUUCCCUGAGUAACACUCCCUCUAAAAAGAAGCCACAGUCAUUUUUAAAACCUUCAUGGGCUUCUCCGGAGUAAUAAAACAGUUAAGAAAGCACUUAAACAGGAACACAGGCUAAUUCAGUCUCACAUGAGGAAAUAUAUGUCAGAAUUAGUAUAAUUACUUUCAUAAUCGCUUGACUUAGAAGCUAGUCCGUUCUCUAGCGCAAAUCAAAAUGUCGUACCUUGGCUACUCUAAAAAUGAGUGUGCUAUCCUGGGUGUGAAAUGCCUUGGUUAAAACAGGAAUCACAUCCUCAGGCUAAAAAUGAACCUCACAGCCUUUUAAAUUAGUCACUGAGCAUCAUUCGUGACUUGAGUCUCAUGGGUCAGUGUAAAUGGGUCAGAGCAAGGCAGGACAACAAUGAAGUGAUGGCUUAGGGUUGACGAGAGGCCGAAAUACAGCCGUAUCCAGUAUUUUAAUUGUGUAGCACAGUGUCUCAUAUCUCUAGAGUAAGGAAGGAUAUGAGUGUACAUAAUAAGGAACAAAAAUUGAAGGAAAGACCUACCUUUGUGGGGUUAUUUAUAUCUGAGCACGGAGUUUCAAUGAGACUCGAAUUUAGAUUGUUUGCUGAUUCUGCUGCCCACAGCAGGAUCCCUAGGAUCCUACCUGAAUUUGAGUCCCUGACCCAGUGGCUGGAAGAACCACUGUCCAGAGCAUCCUUUCUUGGAAGUGUCUGGGCUGCCAAGGCAGAGAGCAGGGUUUACACCGGGUACCACGGGGAUCACGAGCGCGUGUCUCCAGGCCGGUUGGUUUGCUUCAGCCUCUCACUGAGAAGCCGGUUCUGGGCUCACACCUGGGUGCUGCUGCCUGCUUCUUGGGCAGCUCCUUAGUCUGGAUCUCCUGGCUCCACUUACCUUGGUCUUUACCAAGUGGUGAUAUUCUUGCUACCUUCUACCACCUUUCUGCGUCUCUGGAAAUCCUUUCUGCCAGUGAAAGCCUUCAGUCCUGGCAUUGGCCUUCCAACCAGACUGGCUUUGCCCUCUCUCCACCAUCCUCGGUCCUCCAGAGACCGCGCUGCCUGUUGCAUAGAAAACCACCACCUCGGGCCUGCCAGCCAUCAACACAGCAAACCAGGCCAGCUGUCUACUGCUCACAUCUCCCAGGUCCAGAGCAAAUACAGGAUUAGCAACCCACAGUGGCAACUUGGCCUCUCACCCCAGGAGCCAAAGCAACAUGAAACAAUUGGUCAAACAUCGUUGGGUCCGAUUCUGAGAGUAGGUGAUUUCCAGACAUGUCUUUCAGGUGACCCUCAACUACCUCAGGUUUGAAGGCCCUAAAUUAGGCUGAUUACUACUCACAGGGACAAACUGAGGGGGUUCAGAUAAAUCUUGGUGAUAAUGCAAUUGUCUCAAACUUACAACAAACUCUCACAUUUAGGUUUUCAGGGAUGGGAUUGGGUUUUUUCUUCUGUUUUUAACCUUUUCCCCAAUUUUCCAUUAGAAUAGUUCCUAUAAAUGAAUUUCAUUUUUCACUGAGUGCCUACCUUCCCAGGGCAGGUAGCCACUGGCUUUGUUUCCUUCCAACAGUACUUUUAUUAUGGUAUUAAGACUUUUCUUUGUAUAAUACAUUGCAUCUGUGUUUUCAAUUUUUCAAUAAAUAUUUCAACCUGGCAA